UCCCUGGUGGUCUAGUGGCUAGGAUUCGGCGCUUUCACCGCCGCGGCCCGGGUUCGAUUCCCGGUCAGGCAA
rfam:Cricetulus griseus cell line CHO-K1, whole genome shotgun sequence.